CAGCCGUAAACUAUGCGCGUUAGGUGUAUCGGUGACCACGAGUUACCGAGGUGCCGAAGGGAAACCGUGAAACGUGCCGCCUGGGAAGUACGGUCGCAAGGCUGAAACUUAAAGGAAUUGGCGGGGGAGCACCCACAACAGGUGGAGCCUGCGGUUUAAUUGGACUCAACGCCGGGAAGCUCACCGGAUAGGACAGCAGAAUGAUUGCCGGGCUGAAGACCCUGCAUGACUAGCUGAGAGGAGGUGCAUGGCGUCAGUGACU
rnacentral:rRNA from 1 species